CGAACGCUGGCGGCGUGCCUAAUACAUGCAAGUCGAGCGCGGGAAGCAAACUGAUCGCCUUCGGGAGUGACGUUGUGGAACGAGCGGCGGAUGGGUGAGUAUCACGUGGGCAACCUGCCUGUAAGAUCGGGAUAACUCGCGGAAACGUGUAGCGUAAUACCGGAUGAAGUCUUACGCCACCUGGCGUAAGGAUGAAAGAUGGCCUUUGUGCUAUCACUUACAGAUGGGCCCGCGGCGCAUUAGCUAGUUGGUGGGGUAAUGGCCUACCAAGGCGACGAUGCGUAGCCGACCUGAGAGGGUGAUCGGCCACACUGGGACUGAGACACGGCCCAGACUCCUACGGGAGGCAGCAGUAGGGAAUCGUUCCGCAAUGGACGAAAGUCUGACGGAGCAACGCCGCGUGAAGUGAUGAAGGUCUUCGGAUCGUAAAACUCUGUUGUCAGGGAAGAACAAGUGACGUUCGAAUAGGGCGUGACCUUGACGGUACCUGACCAGAAAGCCCCGGCUAACUACGUGCCAGCAGCCGC
rnacentral:rRNA from 1 species